UACGUAGGGAGCAAGCGUUAUCCGGAUUUACUGGGUGUAAAGGGUGCGUAGGCGGCUAUGUAAGUCAGAUGUGAAAUGUAGAGGCUCAACCUCUGAACUGCAUUUGAAACUGUAUAGCUUGAGUGAAGUAGAGGCAGGCGGAAUUCCCUGUGUAGCGGUGAAAUGCGUAGAGAUAGGGAGGAACACCAGUGGCGAAGGCGGCCUGCUGGGCUUUAGUAUUAAAACUGACGCUGAGGCACGAAAGC
rnacentral:rRNA from 1 species